rnacentral:siRNA from 1 species
ACUCAUAGACAGACCAGUGAUGC